UACGUAGGGGCCGAGCGUUGUCCGGAUUCAUUGGGCGUAAAGAGCGUGUAGGCGGCCGCUUAAGUCCUGCGUGAAAUCUCGGAGCUCAACUCCGAGCGGUCGUGGGAAACUGGGCGGCUAGAGUGCGGGAGAGGAGAGUGGAAUUCCUGGUGUAGCGGUGGAAUGCGCAGAUAUCAGGAAGAACACCCGUAGCGAAGGCAGGUCUCUGGGCAUUAACUGACGCUGAGGAGCGAAAGCAUGGGGAGCGAACAGG
rnacentral:rRNA from 1 species